rnacentral:lncRNA from 1 species
GAUCACUAUCCUCCAUGAUGAUCCUUCGAUCGAAAGUAUUUAGAAAUUAACCACUAAUGAUGUAUGUCUCAAAUUCUUAACAUCUUAAGAAUAUAUAAAAUUAUUUUUAUUAAUUUCAAGGAUAAAUCAUGGACACAUAAGACUUGAUUAGUUUUAAGGACUGCCCAUCAAGUAUAAAAUAUAUUCUAGAGAAAAAUAUGUAUCAGCCA